UGCAUAAACUGCAAAAUCGAUAGCAGAGGGCCUUUUCCUUGCAUCAAAGGGGAAGUGCGUUGCUCCCCCUGUGGCCAGGACGUUUAGCCUACUGUUUGAAUGGAUGGCUUCCAUUAGAACUCUCCCCCUUUUGCAUGAUCUAGCGUUACCCCACCAUUGGUGUUUGGCAUUAAAAUCUCCUCCUAUUAUAAAUUUAGAGCCAGAGCAGAGAUUUCCCAUAUAGAUAAAGAGUUUUUUAAAAUGUUGUGCCGUCCAAGUGGCAGUUGGCGGGCAGUAUAUAGGUGCUAUUGCAAUUACCUCGUUGUUACUUGUAGUUAGCGCUAUUGGGGCACAUUGUAGGAAUUCUUCUUCGAUGGGUUCUAGUGCAGUGUGCUUGAUGCCGGCUUUUACGUAGAUUGCUACUCCACCUCUUCUGCUGACAGAAGGGUGUGACGCCGCAUAUCUUACGUAUCCAUUUAUAGUAAGACUGUCAGAUAUAGUGGUGUUAGUGUUGACAUGUUUGGCUAUACGGGUCUCUAUAAUCAUCAUUAUGUCAACAUUGUGUCGCUGCAUGAAAAACUCUAGUUCUAAGAUUUUAUUCCUG
rnacentral:lncRNA from 1 species